GAUUAGGAGGAAGAAAAAAAAUCCAGACCAGCAAUUUACAAAUCAGCUCCUCUAGGACAGAAGAUGUACUUAACAAACAAACUUUUUUCAAGACACAGAGACCCAGAUCAGACUUCUUCCAUGGCUGCGCUUGCUGGUCUCCACACAAUGAGAAAUAGAUACUUAAGGUUGCUGCCAUCCUCAGGACUCUUGCUGCUGUUUUUGCCAUUGGGAUUUGCAGCCCUGGAAACAAGAUCCUGUGCUUGGUGGUGCCCUCCAAAACCUCCAUGUAUCAAUGCCGAUAACUGCCGUUGCUUUCCAGGAUUUGGUUCUUCAUCUGAGGUGAUCUUCACUGGCCCCUUGGAGAGUUGUGAUGAUAUCAAAGAGUGUGGACCAUCCUGGAAUGUGUCCUCUGAAAUACAUAUAGACUGCCAGGACUUUAACGAGAGCUACUCCCUUUGCAAAAAAGGAAACAGUCUUCUUUCUCGUGAAAUGUUUGUGAAUGAGUGUAGAAGCAUGACUUCUGGACUAGAGGCACUGCUGAUUAUAACAUUGAAAACUGCAGCCGAAAAGCUUAAAGCCUCUGACCCCACAGAAUGUGCCCAGUGGUGCCCUCCAAACUCCAAAUGUGUCAAUGCUAACAUCUGACACUGCACUUUGGGGUUCAAUUCAUCAUCUGGAGAAAUCAUCACCAGCUGUUCAGAGAGUUGUGAUGGUACAGAGGUUUGGAGGGAGGGUGGCAUACCAAAGUUGUGGG
rnacentral:lncRNA from 1 species